rnacentral:rRNA from 1 species
AGUGAACGCUGGCGGUAGGCCUAACACAUGCAAGUCGAACGGCAGCACAGUAAGAGCUUGCUCUUACGGGUGGCGAGUGGCGGACGGGUGAGGAAUACAUCGGAAUCUACUUUUUCGUGGGGGAUAACGUAGGGAAACUUACGCUAGUACCGCAUACGACCUACGGGUGAAAGCAGGGGAUCUUCGGACCUUGCGCGAUUGAAUGAGCCGAUGUCGGAUUAGCUAGUUGGCGGGGUAAAGGCCCACCAAGGCGAUGAUCCGUAGUUGGUCUGAGAGGAUGAUCAGCCACACUGGAACUGAGACACGGUCCAGACUCCUACGGGAGGCAGCAGUGGGGAAUAUUGGACAAUGGGCGCAAGCCUGAUCCAGCCAUACCGCGUGGGUGAAGAAGGCCUUCGGGUUGUAAAGCCCUUUUGUUGGGAAAGAAAAGCAGCAGGUUAAUACCCCGCUGUUCUGACGGUACCCAAAGAAUAAGCACCGGCUAACUUCGUG